GGUCAUAGCUCAGUGGUAGAAUGCUCAUCUAGCAAGUGUGAGACUCUGGGUUCAAUCCUCAGCACCA
rnacentral:tRNA from 1 species